CUGACGCUGGGAGCCUUUCUUAUUCCUGCUGGAAUGAGGCUUUAAGGGGUCCCUAGUAGUUAAAAAAAACUGGUGGCCAACACGAACAUUAGUGAUGAAGUGGCAGGAGACGGUAGAGAGUUUAGUCAGUAGAAGAGCACAGGAGGUCUAUGCUGCUUGCCUUCUUUCUGUGACAAAAGUUGACACUAAUAAAGAAGUUAGGAUAGAUGAAGAAAAAACCCGUAUACCCUCAAGAGGCAAUAACUCCUAUAAAAACUUUAACAGACGGAGCCUCAAGAUGCCAUGUUUUAUCAGAACAUGCAAGCAGGCACAGGCUGGUAAUACGUAAUGUUCAUUAAAAAAUGAAACUAUUUCAGAGGACAUCUUCUGAGGUUGCUAGUCUUUCUGACAAUUACAGGAAGAAUUUUCUGACAACACCCUCCUGCAGCCAAGACAGCACAUGGUGUGUCAGUACUAAAACAAUACAGUCUGAAGGAAUGCCCUUUUAACAAAGAGGAGUCAGGGAUUUAUGAGGAGAAAGAAGAUGUAAGAAAAGAUGAGAACGGCUUGAAACCACAAGUAAUCCCAGACAGAUUUGUCUUCUGCACUGAUUUGGGAGCUGCACAUAGAGAAUGUAUUGUACUGCUAUUUUCAACAAGCAGAUCCAAAGAGAAACUCAUGGAUUUGUAACGGUUACACAUGAUGGAGCCCUGUUUUCCUGGAGAUGGCUGAACACCUGCCUGCUGAUGGGAAGGGAUGUUACUGUCAGCUCCAUAUUGAUCUGAAAGCAGCUCCAGGGGCCAUGACGGAAUCUGCCACAGUUAAUCAUGAAGAGGAAGAGAAGACAUGGCUGAUUUCAAGGAAAUCUAUUAUGUUGGAAAUGAGCAGAAAGAAAGGGAAAAAAUAUCCAAGUAGUUUCGAAGAGCUGAGGAGACAGGUUACAAGGAAGACAGAUGUUUUAAUUUUCAGAUAUGCAACUGAUAAUGCCUAUUUCUCCUUUUCAUUGACCCUGUUGCCUGUUGUCCCGAUUUACAGGAAACUGACCUAGUUUUCAGGAAUAAUCAGUGAUGUCAUUCUGACUUUGGACAUCCCAUAUCUAUUACCGUUAGCUUCUCAGAACGACAACUCCGUAACACCUAACUUCUGCAAACAGACUUCCAGCAGACAGACUUAAGAUUCUGAUACACAACUAGGUUACAAUCCACAGCUGCAAAGGCAAACAAGGUCUUCCUUAGAAAUACGAAGAUUCACAAGUGUCUUGCUAUAAGCAUAAAAUACAGAGCAAAGGCAAAUUCAAAUAAAAGCAGCCUGAUGAAAGGCACUAGAAGUAAACAAAUUUCCUUCCUCCCCAAGACACCAUGGAUGCAUGUGUCCAGGUGUAACCUGAACAUCACAAAAAUGAAAUCAGUAUUAACAAAAAGUGUAAAUGUUACCAAUUAUAGAAAGCAUAGAAAGGCCAUGCAUCCAUAAGCCCCAAAUCCUGAGCUAGAUAGUUAUCUUUAGGUUCAACAUACUAGCUUUACUUCUUUCUCCUUUUUUAUUUAAGUUAUUUAAAGAGACGUUCUAUAGAUACAGGCUUAGCGUCACUGCUGAAGUAUUUGAAGGGGAAAUUCAAAUUGUAACUGCUCAGCAGUGGUAAUUUGUGACCAAAGAAAUGAUCUGGCAUGAGAACAAAAAGGCCCAACUGCAGAUGGGGUUGAACUGGCUGGAAGCUGGAAUGCCAGGAAGGACUCUCAGUAAGGGAGUGAUGUUUCCCUUGCUGGUGAGAUAAGAAAUAGCCACAGCAUUGUCUUGUAGAAAUCCUGGUAUGUCAGUGCUCAGGGGCCACGUUUGGGCAGCAGAGCUGGGACUCAGGGAUUGACCCAACAUCGGGCUGAGGCAUCCCAUGCCAAUGCUCACAGGAUUGGUGCCACUGCAAGUGUAUAUAAGGAAUCAGUUUGUGAUGCAUCUUUGCAGACUCCUUGUAGAACCACUGUAGGACUCUGUCCAAUGCUCUUUUUUUUUUUAAAUAUAUUUAAGCACAAACAUGUGUUUAAUUCACCUCAAGGAGUACAAUAAAAAUUCCCCAACAUAUUACUGAAAUUAGGUUCCUGCUGUGAGAGAUUAUUUUCAGACUGUAAAUCUAUUUGAAGUUAGUUUGCUCUAACAAAAUAUCUUAAGUUACAUAAAAUAUUUUUAAAAACUCAACUUACUCUCCCCCUUCUCCACCCCAACAAACUCACUCUCACCCAUAGCUGAAUUGCUGCAUACAUAAACUGACAGCAAAAUGGGAGCCAGAUCUCUGUGAUACAGAACAUUUAUCGUCCAUUAAGCCUCUGGAGUAAAUUCUGAUGGGCAGUUUUCAGGUAUUAUUAUCUUCUUUUAAAUUAUACUGUAAUAUCACGUGCCCUGUUUCCUGGAUGUGUAACAAAUGCUGUUUCUGUGUGAUUUGUUUACACCGUUGGAAGCUUGCCAUCAAUAAGCCAUUCCCCCAGGAAGAGUUAGAGUUGAAACAUGAGUGCUGUGUAGGGAGUAUACUGGGUAAACUACUGCAUUGACUGUGCAAACCUGCAGUAAAAUGAAAUUAAUAUUAAAUAAACAUUGGUCUUUAUCUAUAUUAUCAUCCUAAAAAUGUCACCUUUUGGUCUUUUCCAUUCUAUUAAAAUAGGGCUAUCACUUCUAUUCAUAUUACCUUAAAGGAAUUUGCAGAGCUAAAAG